GACGAACGCUGGCGGCGUGCCUAAUACAUGCAAGUUGAGCGCUGAAGGUUGGUACUUGUACCAACUGGAUGAGCAGCGAACGGGUGAGUAACGCGUGGGGAAUCUGCCUUUGAGCGGGGGACAACAUUUGGAAACGAAUGCUAAUACCGCAUAAAAACUUUAAACACAAGUUUUAAGUUUGAAAGAUGCAAUUGCAUCACUCAAAGAUGAUCCCGCGUUGUAUUAGCUAGUUGGUGAGGUAAAGGCUCACCAAGGCGAUGAUACAUAGCCGACCUGAGAGGGUGAUCGGCCACAUUGGGACUGAGACACGGCCCAAACUCCUACGGGAGGCAGCAGUAGUGAAUCUUAGGCAAUGGACGAAAGUCUGACCGAGCAACGCCGCGUGAGUGAAGAAGGUUGUCGGAUCGUAAAACUCUGUUGGUAGAGAAGAACGUUGGUGAGAGUGGAAAGCUCAUCAAGUGACGGUAACUACCCAGAAAGGGACGGCUAACUACGUG
rnacentral:rRNA from 1 species